CGGACGGGUGAGUAACACGUGGGUAACCUGCCCUUAAGUGGGGGAUAACAUUUGGAAACAGAUGCUAAUACCGCAUAAAUCCAAAAACCGCAUGGUUCUUGGCUGAAAGAUGGCGUAAGCUAUCGCUUUUGGAUGGACCCGCGGCGUAUUAGCUAGUUGGUGAGGUAACGGCUCACCAAGGCAAUGAUACGUAGCCGAACUGAGAGGUUGAUCGGCCACAUUGGGACUGAGACACGGCCCAAACUCCUACGGGAGGCAGCAUG
rnacentral:rRNA from 1 species